GAUGAACGCUGGCGGCGUGCCUAAUACAUGCAAGUCGAGCGAACAGACGAGGAGCUUGCUCCUCUGACGUUAGCGGCGGACGGGUGAGUAACACGUGGAUAACCUACCUAUAAGACUGGGAUAACUUUGGGAAACCGGAGCUAAUACCGGAUAAUAUAUUGAACCGCAUGGUUCAAUAGUGAAAGACGGUUUUGCUGUCACUUAUAGAUGGAUCCGCGCCGCAUUAGCUAGUUGGUAAGGUAACGGCUUACCAAGGCGACGAUGCGUAGCCGACCUGAGAGGGUGAUCGGCCACACUGGAACUGAGACACGGUCCAGACUCCUACGGGAGGCAGCAGUAGGGAAUCUUCCGCAAUGGGCGAAAGCCUGACGGAGCAACGCCGCGUGAGUGAUGAAGGUCUUCGGAUCGUAAAGCUCUGUUAUUAGGGAAGAACAAAUGUGUAAGUAACUAUGCACGUCUUGACGGUACCUAAUCAGAAAGCCACGGCUAACUACGUG
rnacentral:rRNA from 1 species